rnacentral:rRNA from 1 species
AGUGGCGAACGGUGAGUAACACGUGAGCAAUCUGCCCUUGACUCUGGGAUAACUGCGGGAAACUGUAGCUAAUACCGGAUACUUUCCUCGCUGGGCAUCCAGCGGGGAAGAAAGAAUUUCGGUCAAGGAUGAGCUCGCGGCCUAUCAGCUAGUUGGUGAGGUAAUGGCUCACCAAGGCGACGACGGGUAGCCGGCCUGAGAGGGUGACCGGCCACACUGGAACUGAGACACGGUCCAGACUCCUACGGGAGGCAGCAGUGGGGAAUAUUGCACAAUGGGCGAAAGCCUGAUGCAGCAACGCCGCGUGAGGGAUGAAGGCCUUCGGGUUGUAAACCUCUUUUAGCAGGGAAGAAGCGAAAGUGACGGUACCUGCAGAAAAAGCACCGGCUAACUACGUGCCAGCAGCCGCGGUAAUACGUAGGGUGCAAGCGUUGUCCGGAAUUAUUGGGCGUAAAGAGCUCGUAGGCGGUUUGUCACGUCUGCUGUGAAAUUCCGAGGCUCAACCUCGGACUUGCAGUGGGUACGGGCAGGCUAGAGUGCGGUAGGGGAGAAGGGAAUUCCUGGUGUAGCGGUGGAAUGCGCAGAUAUCAGGAGGAACACCAAUGGCGAAGGCACUUCUCUGGGCCGUAACUGACGCUGAGGAGCGAAAGCGUGGGGAGCGAACAGGAUUAGAUACCCUGGUAGUCCACGCCGUAAACGG